AACGAACGCUGGCGGCAUGCCUAACACAUGCAAGUCGAACGAAGCCUUCGGGCUUAGUGGCGCACGGGUGCGUAACACGUGGGAAUCUGCCCUUCGGUUCGGAAUAACAGUUAGAAAUGACUGCUAAUACCGGAUGAUGACGUAAGUCCAAAGAUUUAAUCGCCGAAGGAUGAGCCCGCGUAGGAUUAGGUAGUUGGUAGGGUAAUGGCCUACCAAGCCGACGAUCCUUAGCUGGUCUGAGAGGAUGAUCAGCCACACUGGGACUGAGACACGGCCCAGACUCCUACGGGAGGCAGCAGUGGGGAAUAUUGGACAAUGGGCGAAAGCCUGGAUCCAGCAAUGCCGCGUGAGUGAUGAAGGCCUUAGGGUUGUAAAGCUCUUUUACCAGGGAUGAUAAUGACAGUACCUGGAGAAUAAGCUCCGGCUAACUCCGUG
rnacentral:rRNA from 1 species